UUACCCCUGGCCUGUGUCCGCCAGGAGCCUUUCAAAAUUCACUUAAAUGGUGAUGUCUGAGUACCAAUUUAAAUUAAAUAAAAACUUUCAACAACGGAUCUCUUGGUUCUGGCAUCGAUGAAGAACGCAGCGAAAUGCGAUAAGUAAUGCGAAUUGCAGAAUUCAGUGAGUCAUCGAAUCUUUGAACGCACAUUGCGCCCUUUGGUAUUCCGAAGGGCAUGCCUGUUCGAGCGUCAUUAUCAACCAUCAAGCCUGG
rnacentral:rRNA from 1 species